AGAUUGAACGCUGGCGGCAUGCCUAACACAUGCAAGUCGAACGGGAGUAGCAAUACUCUAGUGGCGGACGGGUGAGGAAUACGUAGGAAUUUGCCCUUAAGUGGGGGGAUAACCCGGGGAAACCCGGAUUAAUACCGCAUGACCUCGAAAGAGCAAAGUGGGGGAUCGCAAGACCUCACGCUUUUGGAGAAGCCUACGUCGGAUUAGCUAGUUGGUGAGGUAAUGGCUCACCAAGGCGACGAUCCGUAACUGGUCUGAGAGGAUGAUCAGUCACACCGGAACUGAGACACGGUCCGGACUCCUACGGGAGGCAGCAGUGGGGAAUAUUGGACAAUGGGCGCAAGCCUGAUCCAGCAAUGCCGCGUGUGUGAAGAAGGCCUUCGGUGUAAAGCACGUUAAGUUGGGAAAGAAAAACUACGACUACUUAACACAGUAGAGUCUUAGGACGUACCGACAACGAA
rnacentral:rRNA from 1 species